AAAGGAGAAAAAGAGAAAGGGGAAGAAAAGAGGAGGGUUUGGAGGAGACAUUGAAGAGGUUCUGACGUUUAGUAGCUCUUGCGAGACUUAGCUGGAGUUUCUUCCGAGUUGUUGGAGAUUAGGUAGUGAGUCGAUGCUCUGGUCAUGUAACAUUGGGUAGACUAGGCGCGUUGAACUCAUGUUUAUAUUUGGUUAUAUAUGAUGUUUAACUUGUGAUUCUGUUUAUUUGGCUACUUGUUGCUUGAGAAGCUUUAAGUCAAAUACUAUGAAUAUUAUGAUUAUGGUUUGUUUUAUGUUAAGAUAUUUUGAGAUAUGAUCAUGGUAUGGGACAUGAGUCAUUUUAUGAAUACAUGAGUAUUGAUGUUUCCGCUGUGAA